ACAGAGAGGAAACAUGAGAGCUCAUGAACGCCAUCUGGUGGAACUUCCUGGAGCUAACAGGCCAAAUUGGGCCUCUGCGGUUGCCCGGCGUAUAAUUGGACAGGGGACUUUCCUAGGAUGUCAGUUCCAGGAGAGCAAGGAUGAUCAUCUGUUUUGUUCACCACCAUAUCCUCAGUGCCUACAAUAUAUCUGGCAAAUAACCAGUAUUCAAUAAAUACUGAAGGAAUGAAGUUUCCAAUGAUCAGCACAGUCUGGAACGUCCAGUGCAAUGCAAGAAGCACAGCAGCCAUCUUGUGACCAUGAGUUGUAAUGUGUCAAGGAUGAGGGAGUUAGAAAAUAGAAGGAGGCUUGCCCCUGAAGCUGUGGAGCUGCUAUACCAGGCAUUGACUGCCUAUCCCGCCUCACACAGUGUGUGAGAUCAGCUCUUGGAUUAAGCCAGCUGCUAUAGUUUGGUUAGUUUGACUUUCUUUAAAUGUCAUGUUGAAAUUUGUUCCCCAGUGUUGGAGGGGGGGCCUAAUAGGAGGCAUCUGGGUCGUAGAGGUGGAUCCCUCAUGAAUGUUUUGAUGCUGUCACCACGGUAAUGAGUGAGUUCUCACUCAAUUAGUUUCUGCAAGAGCUGGUUGUUAAAAAGAGCCUGACAUCUGCUGCCCCUCUCUCUUGUUCCCCUCUCAUAUGUGAUCGCUGCCCACACCAGCUCCCCCUUCACAUUCCACCAUGAGUAGAAGCAGCUUGAACCUUUCGCCAGAUGCCCAACUUCCAACCAGCAGAGUUGUGAACCAAAUAAACCUUCACUGUUUAUAAAUUA